rnacentral:rRNA from 1 species
GUAGGGUGCGAGCGUUAAUCGGAAUUACUGGGCGUAAAGUGUGCGCAGGUGGCCGCGCAAGUCGAGUGUGAAAGCCCCGGGCUUAACUUGGGAAUUGCGCUCGAAACUACGUGGCUAGAGUGUGGCAGAGGAAGGUGGAAUUCCACGUGUAGCGGUGAAAUGCGUAGAGAUGUGGAGGAACACCGAUGGCGAAGGCAGCCUUCUGGGCCAACACUGACGCUCAUGCACGAAAGCGUGGGGAGCAAACAGGAUUAGAUACCCUGGUAGUCCACGCCCUAAACGAUGACGACUAGUUGUUGGGGGAGUUAAAUCCUUUAGUAACGCAGCUAACGCGAGAAGUCAUCCGCCUGGGGAGUACGGUCGCAAGAUUA